GAUUCCCUUCGCGGAUCAUCCGAUCAAAACUAGAACGACACAGAGAAGAUUAGCAUGGCCCCUGCCCGCACAAAUCGAGAAGUGUGCCAAGUUUUA
rnacentral:snRNA from 1 species